rnacentral:tRNA from 1 species
ACCUAGCUGGCUCAGUUGGAAGAGCAUGUGACGCUUGAUCUUGGGGUGUGAGUUCGAGUCCCAUGUUGGGUA